GGGGCUGUAGACGAAUUGGUAGAGUCACCACCCUUUCAAGGUGGAAAUUGUGGGUUCAAGUCCCAUCAGUCCUACCA
rnacentral:tRNA from 1 species